GACGAAGGGGGCUAGCGUUGUUCGGAAUUACUGGGCGUAAAGGGCGCGUAGGCGGACAGUUUAGUCAGAGGUGAAAGCCCAGGGCUCAACCUUGGAAUUGCCUUUGAUACUGGCUGUCUUGAGUUCGGGAGAGGUGAGUGGAAUGCCGAGUGUAGAGGUGAAAUGCGUAGAUAUCGUAAGGAAGACCAGUGGCGAAGGCGGGUCUCUGGACAGUUCCUGACGCUGAGGCACGAAGGUCAGGGGAGCAAACGGG
rnacentral:rRNA from 1 species